rnacentral:rRNA from 1 species
UACGGAAGGCAGCAGGGGGAAUAUUGCACAAUGGGCGCAAGCCUGAUGCAGCCAUGCCGCGUGUAUGAAGAAGGCCUUCGGGUUGUAAAGUACUUUCAGUCGUGAGGAGGGUGUUAAGGUUAAUAACCUUAGCAAUUGACGUUAGCGACAGAAGAAGCACCGGCUAACUCCGUGCCAGCAGCCGCGGUAAUACGGAGGGUGCGAGCGUUAAUCGGAAUUACUGGGCGUAAAGGGCACGCAGGCGGUUAAUUAAGUUGGAUGUGAAAUCCCCGGGCUUAACCUGGGAAUGGCAUUCAAGACUGGUUAGCUAGAGUCUUGUAGAGGGGGUAGAAUUCCAUGUGUAGCGGUGAAAUGCGUAGAGAUGUGGAGGAAUACCGGUGGCGAAGGCGGCCCCUGGACAAAGACUGACGCUCAUGUGCGAAAGCGUGGGGAGCAAACAGGGAUUAGAUACC